CUUGUUGGCAUGAAUGCACCCGACUUCAUAAGAUCUCAGAAGCCAAGCAGAGUAAAGACACAAUUAGUACUUGGAUGGGAGACCUCGGUGCAAGACAGGUAUGCAAGA
rnacentral:rRNA from 1 species